GCCGGGCAUGGUGGCGCAUGCCUGUAAUCCCAGCUACUUGGGAGGCUGAGGCAGGAGAAUCACUUGAAUCCAGGAGGUGGAGGUUGCAGUGAGCCGAGAUUGCGCCACUGCACUCCAGCCCGGGUGACAAGAGUGAAACUCUGUCUCAA
rfam:Homo sapiens chromosome 12, GRCh38 reference primary assembly.